AACGAACGCUGGCGGCAGGCCUAACACAUGCAAGUAGAACGCCCCGCAAGGGGAGUGGCGCACGGGUGAGUAACGCGUGGGAAUAUGCCCUUCGGUUCGGAAUAACACAGGGGAACUUGUGCUAAUACCGGAUACGAUCUACGGCUGAAAGAUUUAUCGCCGAGGGAGUAGCCCGCGUAGGAUUAGCUAGUUGGUGAGGUAAUGGCUCACCAAGGCGACGUUCCUUAGCUGGUCUGAGAGGAUGAUCAGCCACACUGGGACCCAGACACGGCCCAGACUCCUACGGGAGGCAGCAGUGGGGAAUAUUGGACAAUGGGCGAAAGCCUGAUCCAGCCAUGCCGCGUGAGUGAUGAAGGCCUUAGGGUUGUAAAGCUCUUUCGCCAGGGAAGAUAAUGACGGUACCUGGAAAAGAAGCCUCGGCUAACUCCGUGCCAGCCGCCGCGGUAA
rnacentral:rRNA from 1 species